CAGUCGUUUCGCUCCCUUCCUUCACCAUCUUCUUAUAAAAUAACUUAAAAGUCUUAAAAUCUCUAGGAAUUCCAUGCGAUGGACAAAUGUUUAAAAAUGAUCCGUCUAGGCGAUCAAAAAUUCACCAAUUUUUUCAAGAGGUACCUGCCAAUUGCACAACAUCGUAGAUCAAGUUAUUCUAAUAAAAAUUGAUCAUCGUUUCGUUCGAUCACCUCGACUCCAUAUACAGCUGCAUCUUUUAAACCUAUCACAUUGCUGACGACAGCUUCCACCUCGGAAGUGGCAACGUUCUCGCCGUGCCAUCUAAAAAAAAAAAAAAAGAAAAAGAAAGAAAAAAUGGAAGAUAAAAUUUAAAUUCUUCGCUCGAACGAAGAUGGAAUAAAAUAAAAAUUUUACCUGAACGUGUCACCGGUCCUAUCUUUAAAGUAGAAAUAUCCGAAUUCAUCCAUGAGCAAAAUAUCGCCUGAACAGAAUAGGCACGUUUCAAUUAUGAAUUAUAUUUUUUAAAUAGCUCGA